CUUGGAUAUUCCUAUGUUGAUAUAAAAUACUGUCUUCCAGUUACCUUCUAAUUUGCAAAGCCUUCUGAUUUACCUUCUGAUUUGCAAAGAAAAAAAUUUUCUUUCAGCAUCCCAGGCUUGAAACCUUAAAGUUAUUUUUCACAUUCUUCUUUUUUUAUGCUGUAAUAUACCCUGUUAGUUAAUAGGUUCUGUGUGGGCUUUUGGGUGCUUCCUAUGACUGGCCCAUCUGCAAAGUAGAUCUGUUGACUUAUUUCGGCUACUGGCAGCUUAGGAUAGAUCCUUAUAUCUGUAAGAGCUACUUAAAUGCCUUUUCAGCAAUAUACUCUUAGAGUCAUGGCGUCAUAGAUGUCACUGAUAAAAAGAAAUUGUUCCUGGGUUAAAAUUCUGAACAUAUUUUCUGUUAGAAAUAAUCUUGUGGAUAGGGCUACGUACAAGAUUAA
rnacentral:lncRNA from 1 species